rnacentral:lncRNA from 1 species
AUGGAAUUUCAAGAUGCCCAACAAAGCAGGCAAUAUCCACGGGGCACAUUAGCUAAAUGCCAACAUUCCCUGCGUUGGUUGGGGGUUAUUCAAUACCCUCAGCUCGCCAUCUCGUGCAGGGCAAGCUACAAAAUUAAUGAAAGAAAUCAGAUCCCCCUUUCAGCCGGGAUCCCACAACCUCGGAGCGCUCUGUUUGAAAACACCACUCAGAUAUUUCCCCAAUUGUCUGGGCUGCUCGGUUCCCACAAGGAAACUCAGCUCACACAAAGGCACAGCCCGGCACCUUCCCCCGGCCACAAAGGAGCCAGAUGGCCCCAAGGAACUGCUCAGGGCUCCUGGAAAAAAAAGAAAAUGGGAAAAGCUGGGAAUGCUUUGGGACACACGGACAUUGCCACCCGUGUUCCACAGACAUUGCCUUCAUGCCCAGGGAACUGGCCUGGGAAUGCCAGGAGGAGCUGGCACUGCUGUGCUCACCUGAAAUCAGACAGAAUACCCCCAAAACAGGGCUCAGCGUUUUUUAUGAAGCCGACAAUCCUUAAUCCCCAAAGAGUUUGCGUUAAUUUAAAGGGGGCCAAAGAGCCGACACUGCGAGGAGAGCCCAGGUCCCUUCCCAAGCCUGGCAGCCGAGCCCAGGGCCUGGAUUUUCCAGGAGCCCUUCCAGGUUUAGCAGGGCAGCAGCUGCCACCCCUGUGCCCCGUGAGUGCCUGGGCACUGCCAGAGCUUUUCCAGGAAGGAUCUGGACUCUCGGAUCUGGAGGAACACCCUCCCUCACGGAAAAUUCCCAGCGUUUCUCCCAUCACCCCAGCGGGUUCCCUCACACCCAGCCGGGGCUGCUUUGCCACACAAGGACGAACUCCUCGUCCUUGCCCACAGUUACGAAACGCGUGCCUUGUGCCACACCAAGAGCUGCGUGGCAGCACCACAUCCUCAAGGCAGAGGAAGCUGCAGUUCCAACAUUUGUCAUCCGCAAGCCCACGGAAUAGCCCGAUAGCGGCGUGCCCGGCAGAGCGGCGAGGUCGCCCAGCCCCGAGCGCCACGAUGCCGGCUCUGCUGCCUUCCCUCCAGCGCGCUUUAAUGACAUAA